CUGGAGGGCACCCAGGAGCCUUGGGAACGUGCGUCCCACAAUUCCAGCUUCUUGGGCUUUAGGACUGGGAGGUUCGGUUGAGGGUUGAAGUGAGUGGGGAGAUUGUGAUUCGAGGGCUUUAAAGGGAUCCCGUGGCCAGGGGCAGGGCUAAGGCCCAGCAUUUCCCAGGGAUUGGAAUUUGGUGCGGAGCACACUGAUCAAAGGCUGUUUCAUCCCACAUGGGCACGAAACAUACCACAGUUUACGGAGGAUGAAGCCUGAGAGAAGAGGGAGGUGGAGGAGAAGCAUACAUGAAAAGCACCUUUACCUCUGUAAGAUGCAAGGGGAGUCUCUGGCCCGGUGACCUUUGGGAGUGAGCGGAACCCUUACGGAGGCAUCCAGGUAUUUCCAGAGAUCCCGUGACUAUUAAGGUCUGCUCUGGCUCAAGCCAACUUGUCCG
ensembl:lncRNA